CCCUUAGAUGUCCUGGGCUGCACGCGCGCUACACUGAUGUGUCCAGUAAGCACCUAACCUCUUCCGAAAGGAACGGGUAACCUUUGCAAAGCACAUCGUGAUGGGGAUAGAUUAUUGCAAUUAUUAGUCUUGAACGAGGAAUUCCUAGUAAGCACAAGUCAUCAGCUUGUGUUGAUUACGUCCCUGCCCUCUGUACACACCGCCCGUCGCUCCUACCGAUUGAAUGUUCCGGUGAGCUCUUCGGACUGCGCGGUCUGCAGUUUCUGCGUUCCGUGCGGAAAGUUGCGCAAACCUUAACAUUUAGAGGAAGGAGAAGUCGUAACA
rnacentral:rRNA from 1 species